GGAAUUUCAUUGUCCGGGGAAGUUUUCGGAUCGGGGCGACGUGGGCGGUUCCCUCCCCGGGACGUCGCGAAAAGUCCAUUGAACCUUUUCAUUUAGAGGAAGGAGAAGUCGUAACAAGGUUUCCGUAGGUGAACCUGCGGAAGGAUCAUUG
rnacentral:rRNA from 1 species